GAAACCAACAGGGAUUGCCUCAGUAACGGCGAGUGAAGCGGCAAGAGCUCAAAUUUGAAAGCUGGCCCCUUCGGGGUCCGCAUUGUAAUUUGCAGAGGAUGCUUCGGGAGCGGCCCCCAUCUAAGUGCCCUGGAACGGGCCGUCAUAGAGGGUGAGAAUCCCGUCUGGGAUGGGGUGCCCGCGCCCGUGUGAAGCUCCUUCGACGAGUCGAGUUGUUUGGGAAUGCAGCUCUAAAUGGGUGGUAAAUUUCAUCUAAAGCUAAAUACUGGCCGGAGACCGAUAGCGCACAAGUAGAGUGAUCGAAAGAUGAAAAGCACUUUGAAAAGAGAGUUAAACAGCACGUGAAAUUGUUGAAAGGGAAGCGCUUGCGACCAGACUCGCUCGCGGGGUUCAGCCGGCCUUCGGGCCGGUGUACUUCCCCGCGGGCGGGCCAGCGUCGGUUUGGGCGGCCGGUCAAAGGCCCUCGGAAUGUAACGCCCCCCGGGGCGUCUUAUAGCCGAGGGUGCCAUGCGGCCAGCCCGGACCGAGGAACGCGCUUCGGCUCGGACGCUGGCAUAAUGGUCGUAAGCGACCCGUCUUGAAACACGGACCAAGGAGUCUAACAUCUACGCGAGUGUUCGGGUGUCAAACCCGUGCGCGCAGUGAAAGCGAACGGAGGUGGGAACCCCUCGGGGUGCACCAUCGACCGAUCCUGAUGUCUUCGGAUGGAUUUGAGUAAGAGCGUAGCUGUUGGGACCCGAAAGAUGGUGAACUAUGCCUGAAUAGGGCGAAGCCAGAGGAAACUCUGGUGGAGGCUCGCAGCGGUUCUGACGUGCAAAUCGAUCGUCAAAUUUGGGUAUAGGGGCGAAAGACUAAUCGAACCAUC
rnacentral:rRNA from 1 species